rnacentral:lncRNA from 1 species
UCUCGAUCUCCUGACCUCGUGAUCCGCCCGCCUCGGCCUCCCAAAGUGCUGGGAUUACAUAUUUUUCUACUUUAUUCGUCAAAGAGAGAGCCCACCCCCUCCAGGCUAAGAUAAUUGAACAAGAUGCUCAUAAUAUUACCCAAGUCUUAGAAGAAGACAGACACUCCUCAGGAUAAUAAAACACAGGAGAUAUGCCAACAGCACAAGAUAUCUGAUAUAUUUUAGGUAAUCCACCUGGAGACCAGAUGACCAUAAUGGCCUUUUUCCAUCCCACCAGCCGGAUCUGAGGCUCCCUUUACCCUGUCUCCAGCAACGGGUCUGGACAAAACAGGAAAACCCACUCCAAAGGGCUAAUCCACAGACUGACAAUGCAUAGCCAGGGCCAGGGCCCAGGAAAAAGAUGAGGGGUAAAAGGGCUGACAGCAAGAGAUGGGACGGAAGAGAUCCAAGGGCAUCUCCUUCUGCUUCUGCACUGACAGAGUCAUUAUGGACUGCGAGUACAUGUGGAAGAGAUACUGAGAAGACAGAGAAAUAUGAUUGACUAUAAAGGGUGCCCCCAAGCUUGGAAUAAGGCCUACUACUCAGAAAUGGUACAUGGGGAUGAGCUGAGUAGACUAUUCCUUAACCACUCCUUUUACUCCGAAUACAAUCAUGACAAAACAACAUUUUGGUUAAUAACGGGCCACAUAUGCAAUAGUGGUCCCAUAAGAUUUUAAUACUGUUUUUGUUUCUUUGCUGCUUGUUUGUUUUUAGAGACAAGAUCUCACUCUGUUACUCAGGCUGGAAUGCAGUGAUGCGAUCAUAGCUCGCUGCAGCCUCCAACUCCUGGGCUACAGCUAUCUGCCCACCUUACCUCUCAAUAAGUAGCUAGGAUUACAGGUGCAAGCCACCAUACUCAGCUAAUUUUUAAAAAUAUUUUUGCAGAGAUGGAGUUUCACUAUGUUUCCCAGGCUGGUCUCAAAUUCCUGGCCUCAAAAGAUCCUCCUGCCUUGCCUCCCAAAGCACUGGGAUUAUAGGUAUAAGUCACUGCACCAAGGCCUAAUACUGUAUUUUUAGUGUACCUUAUUUAUGUUUAGAUACACGAAUACUUACCAUUAUGUUAUAAUUGCCUACAAUAUUCAAUACAGUAGCAUACUGUACAGGUCUGUAGCCUAGGAACAAUAGGCCACACUAUAUAGGCUAGGUGUAUAGUAGACUAGACCAUUUAGGUUUGUGCAUGUAUACCCUAUGAAGUUUGCAUGAUGAUGAAAUCACCUCAUGAUGCAUUUCUCAGAACCUAUCCCCAUUGUUAAUUAAGCAUGACUUUAGACCGAUUCUAUCACUUGAACAAUGAAGUUAAGAAUUGAUUGAAGGAAGUUUUCACUUAACCAAGGCAGAUGGAACACACAUGUUUACCUCCACCUCUUCCCAAAACCUCAUAGAAGGACACUAAAGGAAUAAGAAGGAGAAUGACAGACUACAGAUGUCAAUCAAAUUUGUGAAUAUGUAAAGCAGUUGUAUGAAUGGUACAGACUUAGCUGUGAAAGCAGAAAUCUGACUGCCUGCAGGGGAAGAGAAACUGGUAAAAAGAAACUGACUCCCAGCCCAGAAGCCUGGGAAGUUUCAGGAAUUGAGAUAAAAGCACUUGCAAAGGGAGAGGACAGGAUGGGUUAAGCAGUGCGAGUGAGUUCCUAAAAGCAGAACUCACUCCAGGAGGGCUGUCUGUAAGGGAAAACCAGGAAACUCGGAUGUUACUUGAGUGUGUGUGACAGCAUCAGAAAUGUGUAAGAGUUAUUUCAGAAUGUUUGGGGCUGAAUCAGUGAUAAUUAAUGUCUAUAAAACUCAGGAAAUAAAAAGUAAGACAAUUAUUUAAAAUGGUAUAAGUUAAGUAAAAUCAUAAUACAUGCUCUAGCUAUGAAUAGUAUUUUCAUAGUCACAAUGACAAUACAAAAUCUUCACUUGACAAAAAAAUGUGAUAUAGGUUGGGAGCAGUAGCUCAUGCCUGUAAUCCCAGCACUUUGGGAGGCCAAGGUGGGCAGAUCACCUGAGGUCAGAAGUUCCAGACCAGCCUGGCCAACAUGGUGAAACCCCAUCUCUACUAAAAACACAAAAAGUGAGCCAGGCGUGGUGGCAGGCACCUGUAGUCCUAGCUACUUGGGAGGUUGAGGCAGGAGAAUCACUUGAACUCAGGAGGUGUAGGUUGCAGUGAGCUGAGAUAGUACCACUGCAUUCCAGCGUGGGCGACAGAGUGAGACUCCGUCUCAAAAAAAAAGUGAUAACUACACUGGGAGGACGGGGAGAGGGAAUGUAUGGUGGUUUAGAAAGUAUAAUAGAAUUUCAGUCAUAAAGUCGAUAGAUGAUUUCUAAAAUUUCAAAAAUCAUAAGCAGUAGUAUAAACAUGUUGUGUAGAAAUAUCAAGAUUUUAAAAAGAGAGACAGAAGAAAAACUUAGAAGAGUUUUAAGGAUUUCUUCUGAGUGGUGAAGAUGGGAAGCAGAAACUGAGGUUCCAGGAGACUACAGUAGAGGACUGCCUACUUUCCUAUAAGUCACUCAGUAUCAUUUGUCUUUUAAAAUUAUGCACAUAUAUUGCUUUGGUCAGAAUUAAAUUACUUUUUAAAAAGGAA